UCAUGCUUGUCUUCGAUGUGUAGCUAUGUUACAAAAUUUGUGAUUCUAAACCUCUAUGCCCUGAGGUUGCAUACUCUUACCCAAUAAGAUGGGAUAAUGUCAUAUCUCAUUUUUUCUUUCUCCAACUUGUUACAAAACAAAGCUUACAUUUCACCUGAGAACUGUGCAUUUUCAUUGCACAAAUCAAAAUGCUUGUAAGUCGAUGCCCAUACACCUGAAAAUAAAAAAUAUGGAAGAUAAAUAUGUUGAACUCUUCACAAGAAUGAAUGAAUAACCAACAGAAGUUCUAAAACAAUCAAAAGACCCAAUAAUGAAACAUUUUUGAACAUAUUUUAAAAAUGUGUGCGGGUAUUAAAAUAUAUAAUCUUGUUAUAGGCAAAUGGUAGCUUACCUUGAGAUUUUGGCUUUCUAAGCUAUUGCAACUUUUAAUAAGAUUUUCUGGUAAUUACAUAUGUAAUUCUACCUAAAUUAGUUUUUAAAAAUGCCAGAAUUUAAGGCCAAGCUUCUUGUGAUGAGAUCUCCUUUCCUGUGUUCUCCCUGUUCAUGCGCAAUUUUAAAGGCAUAGAUGUCUGAUUUUAAUACAAAAAGAGCUUGUGAAAUUAGGCACAAUCAUACUUUAUAACUUUCUCCAAUUUUGCUCUUUUUUUCUGAUAUUCACUGGAGAAAGCAAUUAUGGUGGGAAAAGUUAGCAGUAAAAGGAAACUGGGCAUCCAAACAGCACAAUGGCCAGAUGCCAUCAAAGCUCACACCAGCCAAAGCACAGAAAAAAACUCAAAGAAGCAAUGCAAGAUCAGAAGAUGUGGAGACCUGGCCCAUAAAAUCACCAAGGGUUGGACAUGACCGACUCUGUAUCAUCAUCUCUCAUAUGGAAUUUUGAAGAUUUCCUAAAAUUGUAAAAGAGGCAGGAGCAAGAAGAAAAUGGCCAGGAUUAUCUUUUCAAACUAAUUUUUAAGCUGUUGGGUUUUGUAACUGGCGGAGGAAGAAGCAGGAAUGAUGAGCAUUUUAAAGAUCUGAUGCGGAUGUGGACUUAAUGUAGCAUUCUACCUUCAAUCAGAAUAGAGUAGGAAGGGACCUUGGAGGUCUUCUAGUCCAAUCCCCUGCUCAAGCAGGAGACUCUAUACCAUUUCAGACAGGUGGCUGUCCAGUCUCUUCUUAAAAACCUCCAGUGAUG